rnacentral:rRNA from 1 species
GAACGCAGUAGCAAUACUGAGUGGCAGACGGGUGAGUAACAUGUGGGAAUCUGCCUUGUGGUUCAGGACAACAUUGGGAAACCGAUGCUAAUACUGGAUAAGCCCUUACGGGGAAAGUUUUAAUGCCAUAAGAUGAGCCCGCAUUUGAUUAGUUAGUUGGUGAGGUAAUGGCUCACCAAGACAAUGAUCAAUAGCUGAUCUGAGAGGAUGAUCAGCCACACUGGGACUGAGACACGGCCCAGACUCC